GGGGUCGAACAGAGUUGGACACGACUGAAGUGAUUUAGCAGCAGCAAUGAAUGGAUACAUUUUGGUGCAUCCUCAGUGAAAUACCAAUGCAUGCUACAACUUCAAUGAACCUUGAAAACAUUGUGCUGUGUUUAAAAAAUAAGAGUCAAAUACAGAGGACCACGUAUUACGUGAUUUCAUUUUCAUUUAAUGUCCAGAAUAAGCAAAUCUACAGGGACAGAAAGUAGAUUUGUUGGCUGCGUUAAGGGGUGGGAGAGACUUGGGGGCAUAUGAGAAGUGACUGCUAACAGAUAGAAGGUUUUGUUGGGGGGUUGUCAAAAAUGUUUCAAAAUCAAUUACAGUGAUGGUUGUAAAACUUCGUGAAUAUGCUAAAAACCACUGUAUACUUUAAGUCCAUAAAUUGUAUGUUAUGUGAAUUAUAGAUCAAUAAAACUGUUAUAAUUAAAAACAAAAAAACUCCAUGACAGCAUUUUUAAUGUCUCUAAACACUAUUCCUUUGCACAACUGCAUCAUAAUUUAUUUAGAUUUCUAUUGUUAGGCCUUUAUGGUUUCCAUUAAUUCCUUUGUUUCAAAACAUUUCAAACACACACUAAAAAGAAUAUUGUAACAGACCCUUGUACCCAUCACCCACUUCAACGAUACAUCAACGCAAUUUUUGCUUUUAUGGACAUGGAUUUGGUGAACAGUCUUGUGCAUAAUCUUUGUCCACAUUCCACACUGUUUCCUUCCAUUUACACUGAAUUCAAUUCAGUUCAAAUCACUUCCUCAAAGCUUCACAGUGCCUUCCCAGGGUAUCCAAGGGAUGUGAUAGAUCAGAUCCCACCGUGCUCCUGGGGUGCUCCCAGUCUGGUGUGGGAGAUAGAUAUUGAAUUGGGGGGAUUAGUUGGGGCCGAGGCUGUGAAAUUGGAGACAGUCCUCGCCCUGUACCCAGGAAGGGUGCCCCUCACGCACUGGAGUCACUCAACCCUAGGAACUUUUUUCCAAAUCUUAGCUCAGUCCUGUCUUUCUUCUAUUCAGCCACAUGGGGGCGCCAAAAUCCAGAGUCUUUCACAGCCUCAUCUGGGAAGGUGGCUGGGGUGGGCUCUGUGCCCCUUUUCCUGGUGACCUGGCCAGGUGAUGGUCCUCUUUUGGCCUUAGGAUCCUCACGUGGCAAAUUUUGGAAGCGAGCCAUGUGGCAUCACCAGUGCAAUAUUUCGGUCUCACACCUUUAACGAGCUCUCAUCAGCAGUGUAUCCUGGACUCUCUUUCCCAGCAUCUGCUUCCAGUAGUCCAGGAGAUCCAACUGAGUUCCCCUCCACUCUGGAUCCCAGAAGAGAUUAAUGCCUACCAAGGCGACUUCACACUUUUUUCAGAGGCCUACAAGAAGCAGUUUACUCCUCUAGGAGUGAUUUGGGCAGCAAACUUGCUGGUAAUGCAUGGCUGAUAGGUAAGGGGUCUACCCACUGAUGCCCCACAAUUCAUGCUGGGAGCCACCCAGCUCUGGCCGUGAGGUUAGGGUGUGGGAGGAGGAAGAGAAAAUGAGUCAUCAGAGACUUACAAAACCCCGACCUAACAGACGUCCGGCCCAGCCCAGGGGAGACUUGGCCCCCAGUGGGCAUGGUCUCUAGAGGACCACGAAGACUGAUGUCUGACAUAGCUAAGGGCUGAGUCAAAGGAGAGGGUGUUUCUUUCCUAAGCGGGCUUAUCCUGAGUUGAAGGGGUCUCCAGCUUUGCAGUUCUGUCUCAGCCAAUGCAAGCCAGGCUCUAAGCUCUGUAGGGAUGUCUGUCUCCCUCUGGGGGGCUCUCUCAGCUGUGAUCCCAGCACCUCUCUAUUGGCCUUGCCCUGGCUUGUCCCUGAUCCUUCCCAGGAUGCCUCUUUUAAUCCAAUGAGUUGGCAGCAACCAUCAGAGGAGAAAGUUGAAACUCAGCUGGGCAGUGUGAAGACUCAAGCCCAGGCUGGGCUGAUUUGGGCCUAGGUCUCCUAUCUCCUCCCCACCUGCCUUCUGCACCUGCUCUGAUUGCCCCCCUGCCUUCUGCAUGUGCUCUGAUCUGCACCGACUCCAACCUCCCUGCCUCUUGGAGCUACUUCACUCCUGCACUCGCCCAGGCCUACCCAGCUGCACAUACGCUCCCAAGCUCACCUGCACCAGGGUGCAGCCCAUCCCUGACAGCAGCCGACUGCCUCUUAACAGUCAUGUGACCUUGAGCAAGUCACCUAACCUCUGUGAGCCUCAAUUUUCUCAUCUGAGAGUAGGACCAUAACUCAUAAGAGUUGUUAUGAGACUUAGGACAUUAUAUGUAAUCUUGUUAGUACCUGACUAAAAGUUGACUGUUUUUUAAAAUGUUAGCGAUGUGUGCUAUUAUUGUACACCUGCAUCUUUGUACACUAUACGUAUAAAGUCACAAGCUGGAUACACAGAGGCACCAGGACUGCCAUGCACAUCUACAUACCCACAUAGGAACACAAAAUAAAACAGUCAGCUACCUGCUGCAUCACGUGCCCACGUACCUGAGCCAGGCUCUACUGGGGUUGGUUGAGGAAUACCUAUGAAACCAAAGAAAGGAAGUCUGGCCUUGGGGUCCACCCAGGCUGGCUGGGAAAGUAAGAUCUGUGAUCAGAGUAGUCUGCAGACCAACCUGGGACCUUGUUAGAAUCUUGAAUAAUUUCACGUGCCACCCCAGACCUUUGGAAUUAGAAUCUGCAAGAUCCUCAGAACACAAGGCAGAGAGGAGGGAAGUGGAUCCAGCUGCUGUUCCUAAGCGGGAGGAGCUGACUUUAGACCGAGUACUGGGGAUCUGCAUCCUACCCCCACAGCAGGCUGGUAGACCGUCUGGCUCUUUCUCUGUGGUUGGGAGUUGAUGUUAGGUGUGAGGCCAUCCAAUUCGGCCUUGGGAACACAGACAGCCUGCCUCAACCUGUUCUAGAAGAAUAUAAAUAGCAAGGUCCUUCCCUGGACCCUCCCAGGUUCUGAUGGGCUGGGAGAUGGGAGCUACAUCAGGGCCCAAGCAAUAGGCAGAGGAUGCCUGCCCUUCAAAUCCCCUUCUGAAAUGUGUCCAUGCUCAUCUGUGACUCUCCAGCCAACAUCAUGGUAGAGCCACUGCCAGAACUCUGGCUGACCUCUCCAGCCUUCAGUGGAGUGUGGGCUCAGUCCCUCAGGGACGUUGGAGCCUGAAGCCUGGGCCAGGGCUCUCUCCCUAUCCCUGUUGAAGCUAAUUUUAGGGCUGCCUUGACAGCUGCCUCAGCUCAACCUGGGUCAAUUCCCAGCCGCUCAGUUUUGGGGUCAGUGGGGGUCAGCUGGGGAGUGGGCCAGGCCAGCCCCAGCUUUGGCUGCAACAGAUAAAACUAGAACCUGUAACCCCUGACCCCGGCAACCAUUCCCACUGCCUGGAGGGCCCCCUCAGGGCUGACCAGCAGGACAGGAUGGGAACUGAUCCUGUUCUCAGCCUGGCACACACUCUGCAGACAAACAAACCAAACCCAGGGAAAUCUGGGAGUCACGGAGAUCAGAGAAUCAGGACCUCAAACACCCUCUAGCUCAGCAUCUUGACUGCAGAAGGCAAAGGGCAGAGGGCUAAGGUCUCUGCCAGAGUCACGAAGCCAGGGCUGGCAGAGCUGGUGUUGCAGCCUGAGCUUCCUGGUGCCUGACCAGGUCCUGUGCCCUGAGCACCAGGGCUGGAUAGAUGCAGAGGGGCCGAGCGACUGAAGUAGCCCAUGAAGG